rnacentral:tRNA from 1 species
GCGGAAGUGGUGAAAUUGGUAUACACGCAACCUUGAGGUGGUUGUGCCUCACGGCAUGAGGGUUCAAGUCCCUCCUUCCGCACCA